ensembl:lncRNA
GGGGGGGGGGGGGGGGGGGGGGGGGGGGGGGGGGGGGGGGGGGGGGGGGGGGGGGGGGGGGGGGGGGGGGGGGGGGGGGGGGGGGGGGGGGGGGGGGGGGGGGGGGGGGGGGGGGGGGCAAAAAAAAAAAAAAAAACAUCAGCAACGCCUUGAUCUUAUCUGGAUCUUCUCUUGCAGCCCAGACGAACGGCGGGGGCAGCGCAGGGCUGGAGGGGAUGCUGAACCCUUACACGGCCCUGGCCCCGCCCCAGCAGCUGCUGGGCAUGGAGCAGAGUGUCUACAGCUCCGACCCUUUCCGGCAAGGGCUCACCCCGCCCCAGAUGCCCGGAGACCACAUGCACCCCUACGGUGCCGAGCCCCUCUUCCACGACCUGGACAGCGACGAUACCUCACUGAGCAACCUGGGGGACUGCUUCCUCGGCACAGCAGAUGCAGGGCCGCUUCAGGCACGAGUGGGAAACCCCAUCGACCACCUGUACUCCAUGCAGAACUCCUACUUCACCUCCUGAGCGCAGCCUGGUGCCCCCAGGAGGGUCGGGAGGGAGGGAGGGGAGCGGCGCUGCCGGGAUGCCGCCAGAUAAUGUUGUAGCUUGGGAUUCCCAAGGAGCGAGUUAAGUUAUGGGUUGCAUAGUUUCAUGUUUCUCUUAGGAGCCUAGGAUUAGGGACAGGAGUGGUUUUUGCAGCUGGCUGGUAGGUUUUCAAAUUUCAAACGGGGGCACGAAUUUCUCCGUUCGGCAGGGGGAGUGGGGGGGGGGGGGGGGGGGGGGGGGGGGGGGGGGGGGGGGGGGGGGGGGGGGGGGGGGGGGGGGGGGGGUUCUCCUGUAGGAGCAUCCCAGCUCUGCAUCCCAGCUCUAGAAAGAGCAAACUGCUGAUCUUCAUGGGGAAAGCCUGCAGCAUCAGCCAGGCUUUGAAUUUAAAAAGCUGACAGCGCUCUGGGGAAGGAAACACGAGGGGAAAAGGUCGCUGCAGGGUUUGGUUUUUUUUCCCAUCUGUUCCCUCAACCGGUUUGAGUGCCCGCUGCUUAAACGUAGGGACUUUAAAGAUAGAUGUUCCCAUGCGAGUAUAGAAAGCUAGAAACCCCUGACAUUGUCCCUGUCCCCGAGGAUGGGGCUGUGUGUGUGGAUGUGUGUGUGUGUGUGCGUGCAGAGCCGUGUGGCUGGGAGUGCUGCGCUGCACGGCCACGCCUGCCGGAUUGUAUCAACAAAAAAAAAAAAAGUUUAUUUCUAAGUCUAUCAGAAAUUUACUGUACAGCAAAAGUAACUUUAUUUUCAGUGUGAACCAUAUUUAAGGAAAUACUCAAUGCACUUAAGUUAUAAGAGGAAAUAAUUUUACUUUUUAUAAGCGUUAUGUUUAGGUUGCAAAAGCCCAGUGGCAGGGAAGGAGCGUCAGUUCAUUUCAGGCGAUAGGUUUGGGUUUCGGGGUUGGUUACUUUUGGUGUUCUCAGGUUGCCCCACUGGUUUCGAGGUGCAGUUGAAACACAAAGCAGGGCUGGGUCCAGAAAGCUGCUUUUUGCCAGCAGGUUGAUGGGGGCAGCGUGGUGCCCGGGUCCUGUCCCCGCUGCUGGACGUGCCCAGGGGGUCGGUGUGGGGUGGGCGUGCUGGAGCUGCUGCACAUCCCACCCCAUCAGGGCUCAGCCAUGCUUCUCCACGUCACUUGUCCUUCCCCAGCAGGGCCCAGCCUGCCUCCACCAGCAACCCCAUCCCAUGAUACUCUCAAAUUUGGGUGCUAGGCCGGUGUGAGCUGGUGUCCUGGUGCUGGGAAACGCUGCACCCCAAGUCCCCACCCCUCAGGGGAAGCAGGGCCAGCCCUGCUUGCUUUGGCUCCAUCCCUGCCAGCCCUGUGGGAAAACCUGGGGAAAGUCGAGCCUUCAGCUGGCCCUCACCUCAUCCCCACUCUUCGUUUUCAUGCGUUGUGUCCUUUUGUGCUGCUGUUCACAAAUGAUGGAAGAGACAGCCCCUAAAGCCGUGCGAGUGACUGUGAGGCUGGAAACACUGGCUGGUGGCUGCUGUCCCUCUGACACUGAAUGUAGCAGGGUCUGGAGAUGGCUGUCCUGGUGGGAAGUGCUGACAGCACUGCCAGAAAUCACGCACCGAGAUGAAAUCUGAAAGACAAAAAAAAAAAAAAAAAGGGGGGGGGGGGGGGGGGGGGGGGGGGGGGGGGGGGGGGGGGGGGGGGGAAAACUCUGUUAAAGAAAAAAAAAAAAAGCGUGGUGUUUUCUUUCUUGCGUGGUUGUGUCCUCUUGGCUGGGAGAGGGAAAGGUUGGAAGGUUGGAGUUGUCCCCAAAGACAGCAAGGUCUUGGGCAGGGUGUAGUGAGAAGUUUUUGCUUAAUGGGUUAAUUUUAAAUUAAUGGGUUUUCGAUAUCAAAUAUUCACAGAAUCAUAGACCUCAUCACAGUGUGGGUUGGAAGGGACUUCAAAGACCAUCCAGCUGCAGCCCCCUGCCAUGGGCAGGGACACCUUCCACUAUGCCAGGUUACUCCAAGCCCCAUCCAGCCUGGCCUUGAACACUUCCAGGGGUGGGGCAUCCACAGCCUCUCUGGGCAGCCUGUGCUGGGGCCUCAUCAUAUUCUGUGGUCUGGGACUAAGCUGGCCCUUGGAGAGUCCUGUGUGGCCAACAGGCAGAGGCUGGUGGGUCUGGAAGAUGAGAGAGGGGCUGGCUGGGGGUCUUCACCAAGCUCUCACCUGGACUAGCACUUCAUGAACCCCAGCCCUUCAUGUUAGGACCAUGAGCAACUCCAUGGUAAGACUGCCCUAAGGGUAUGGGUGGGUGUUUCCCAAGAGGAAUUGCCCUUAUCCCAGCUCCCAGACACACAGAGGUUCCAUAAACGUGCCAGCAAAUGGGGAUCCACAGCCCAUUUUCUGAGCUGUUCUAAACAAGGUGUGCUCCUUCCUGCCCAUCAUCAGUCCCUGCUCUCCAGCUUCUGUGUUAGAAAAUGUUUUCUAAGUCCAACCUGCAAAAAGAAAAAAAUUCUAAAGUGGUGUGACUGCAAGAAGAAAACUUGUCAUUUUUAUUUUCCAAGCUGUAAAAAGCAGCCCAAGAGCAGCCUGGAUUGCCUGGGUUGGUUUGGGGUUUUGCUCUGUUUGAAGACAGCAGCAGGGAAAAGGGUUGGACUUGUCUUGUGGUGGGCAAGUUGGGGAAAUUAUGGCUUGAGGUUUCUCUUAACACCAGUCUUGGUGGAAUUGGAGAAAUACUUGGCUGGUGCUAUGUGAAAAAGGGGGCAGGAGCUGCUGUGGCCCACAAAACCAGCACAAUUUAUAGGAUCAGCUCUAGGCAAUGGCUGGGUUGACACCACCCAGGCUUACAAUGCAAAAGUAAGUUUCCCUUAAUGGUUAUUAAAACUGCCUCAAAAAUUCCUCUCACUCGGGUACUUCUUAAAACAUCAUCUUUAAAUUUGUGGGGGUUUAUUACUAAUGUUUUGAAGAUAAAAGGUUUGUCUUCCCCACCCACAGCUAUUUCCUGUUUGAAAAAUCCUCAGGUGCAUCAGCCCCGUUUUUCAUCAGCCCAACUGUCAAUUUACACUUGCUAAAUUGCUUCCCCCAAAUAAAAACUCUCAUGUCAUACAGACUGGUUGCCUACUUUUAAAAAUCUUGCAAAACUGUAAUGACACCCUAUAAUAACAGUCUCUUGAUGCAGAUGUGGGUAUGUGUAUAAAAUUAUUAUUAUAUAGAGUAUGUCAUUUUGGGAAACGAUCAGAAUUAUGGAUGAGGGCGGAUUUUUGCCCAGCAAAAUCAGGAGGAUUCAUGGUUUUAAAGCUGUUCUUCUGCCAGUUGGCCCUGUGCUCGACACAGGCCGAACAUGAGCCCAGUUUGCAAUCUUGCCAUGGAGUAGCAGAUGUGGGUCCUCC